GCUGGGGGCUGGAAACAGAAAAGUGGCGUCGCGACGUGACACAAAGGCGAGAUGUCAACAUGUAUCAUAUCGCGCUUGAUGGGUCAUAAAUAAAAUACAUGUCAUCAAUGGCUCAACGUUCAGCGCUUUAGCAGGGAAUAAAGGUGAUAAUACUCAGCAUGAAACUGCACAUGAAAACAACCACAGUAUCAUUUGGAAACAGUGGAGUGUUGAUGUCUCUCCGCAGACGUCCUGAUGGAGACGAUGAGUUUGAUCGAGCAUCUUGAGCUGGACCAGAGAAGCAGAGAAAACUCUUCAGGAAGAAAAGGAGAAAGCAAAGAAACUUUGAGAGAAGCCGGACAGCCUCUGUCUCUGGAAGCAGAUUGAGAUUCCUUUAGCAGUGCAGAAAGAGCGUGAAGCCUGCAACACAGACAUCGCCGAGCUGAUGAAAUGAGGAGAGAUGAGAGACAGACUGACCCACGCAGAGCUGCUGAACCGACGUCUGAAGGAGGAUAUCGAUUUUAUGAGGAAACACGGGCCGCUUGCGCACGAGAGACUCCGGCUGGAGAGUGAAAUCAUGAAGCAGAUCCGAACAGCACAAAGUGAGGUGUUUACUGCCAGACCCGUUCGUUGGCUUGUUUAGAGGAGCUGAGAUCAAUAAGACAAAACCACAGAGAAGAAAGGAUGUAGGUCUAACUAAAAGAGUCCAGAACGUACUAGAGGAGCGCAUCAGAGAUUUUAUAAAGAGUGCUAAACUGAACUGUUUAUUUUGUGAAUGAACUAC